rnacentral:rRNA from 1 species
GACGAACGCUGGCGGCGUGCUUAACACAUGCAAGUCGAACGGAAAGGCCCUGCUUGCAGGGUACUCGCGUGGCGAACGGGUGAGUAACUCGUGGGUGAUCUGCCCUGCACUUCGGGAUAAGCCUGGUAAACUGGGUCUAAUACCGGCUAGGAGCCAUUUUUAGUGUGAUGGUUGGAAAGUUUUUUCGGUUUUGGGUGAGCUGGCGGCCUAUCAGCUUGUUGGUGGGGUAAUGGCCUACCGAGGCGGCGAAGGGUAGCCGGCCUGCGAGGGUGGACGGCCACAUUGGGACUGAGGGACGGCCCAGGCUGCGACGGGAGGCAGAAGGGGGGAAUAUUGCACAAGGGGCGCCAGGCUGAUGCAGCGACGCCGCGUGGCGGAUGACGGCCUUCGGGUUGUAAAAUACUUUCGCUAGGGACGAAGCUUUUUGUGACGGUACCUAGAUAAGAAGCACCGGCUAACUACGUG